GAAUCUAAGAGGAGGAGUUUCUAAGUUUUCCGGUCGUGUUCUUCGUUUUCCGGCGGCGAUUGGUUUCGAUCAAGAUGCUUGAAUUCAAGAUUGGAGGAAUCGUUGAUUUUGGGUCUCUGCUCAUUUCGGGUUUACUGUUUGUGUUGGUGAUUUCUGUGUUCUUGUUCCAUUUCCAAUCAUAUGAAAGUGCAAGAACAUGAAUUGGUGUUGUUAAUGCUAGUGAUUAGUUGUUGGUUAAUAUUGAAGUGAAGGAAGACUGCACAGAUUGUUAUUAUUAUUGUUUGAUGAUUUUGGGUUUUGAAUGAGUAUUGAGAUUGGAAAGAGUUUCUUUAUGAUGGAGCUUAUUUGCUGAAGUUGAGUUGAGGCUUGUCUGCAAAAUGGUUGAGCUGAUGUUGGUGUUGUUACAUGUUUGCUUUAAAGUCGGGGAAGAUUGGAUGUUAGAUUAUAGGAAAGUUGAAGAAGAUCAUUUGUUUCAAGUUUGGGUGUAGAGAGUAAUUUCGGAUACUAUGAUUAAAUUCCAUUUGAAGUUGAAUUAGUGUUUGGAGUGGAAUUGGGUCAUGGUAGCUCAAUCGACUUAUAGGGGUUGGAGAAAGCGAGUAAAUGCAAGAGUUGGACAGUUUGAGAAAAGUAUGUAGAAAACGGCAAAAGAGGAUUUGGGUGUC